AUUGAACGCUAGCGGCAUGCCUAACACAUGCAAGUCGAACGAGUGGCGGACGGGUGAGCAAUGUAUCGGAACGUGCCCAGUGGAGGGGGAUAACUACUGGAAGCUGGGCUAAUUCCGCAUACUAUUGGAUAGGCCGAUAUCGGAUUAGCUAGUGGGUGGGGUAAAGGCUCACCAAGGCGACGAACCGUAGCUGGUUUGAGAGGAUGACCAGCCACACUGGAACUGAGACACGGUCCAGACUCCUACGGGAGGCAGCAGUGGGGAAUAUUGGACAAUGGGCGAAAGCCUGAUCCAGCCAUGCCGCGUGUAUGAAGAAGGCCUUCGGGUUGUAAAGUACUUUUAGCAGGGAAGCGUUACCUGCAGAAUAAGCACCGGCUAACUACGUGCCAGCAGCCGCGGUAAUAC
rnacentral:rRNA from 1 species